AAAACGCGAAGGAGUCUAACAUGUGCACAAGUCAUUGGGUGAAAAACCUAAAGGCGUAAUGAAAAGUAAAAUUAAACUUUAGUUUAAUGAUGGAAGAUCCCUUGCUUUUUCCUAAGAGUAAUGGCUUGGGCGCAUUCCGGGGGCACUAUGAAUGCUUUGCCAUUGUAGUGCACCAAGAGUGUACACGUUGGGACCCGAAAGAUGGUGAACUAUGCCUGGUAAGGUUGAAGCCAGAGGAAACUCUGGUGGAGGACCGUUUCGAUUCUGACGUGCAAAUCGAUCGUCAGAACUGGGUAUAGGGGCGAAAGACUAAUCGAACCAUCUAGUAGCUGGUUCCCUCCGAAGUUUCCCUCAGGAUAGCUGGUGUUCAUUGUAAGAGGAUGAGUUUCAUCCGGUAAAGCGAAUGAUUAGAGGCCUUGGGGUCGAAAUGUCCUCAACCUAUUCUCAAACUUUAAAUGGGUGAGAUGCCGGGCUUGCUUGAAUGAAGUCCAAUAGGCAUUAGAAUCAUAGUAACACCCAGUGGGCCACUUUUGGUAAGCAGAACUGGCGCUGUGGGAUGAACCAAACGUUAUGUUAAGGCGCCAAAAUAGACGCAAAUCUGAUCCCAUGAAGGGUGUCGGUUGCUCUAGACAGCAGGACGGUGGCCAUGGAAGUCGGAAUCCGCUAAGGAGUGUGUAACAACUCACCUGCCGAAGCAACCAGCCCUGAAAAUGGAUGGCGCUAUAGCGUCUUGCCUAUACAUAACCGCUAGAACAGAGCUGGCUUCUUUAAUUACAGGGCCCUUAA
rnacentral:rRNA from 1 species